GCAAUUGAUGCAUGAUAGUAAAGAUUCUAAAAUGUAAUUAGAGCACUUCACAACGUAUUUAAGAAUAUCAAUGCGAAUUAUAAGAAACAGUCUUUCAAGCUAUUUCAACUAAGCUAAACUAAUAUCAAAAUGAAACUCUGGCUCAGGUUGGAAGGUAUUUUUCUUGUUGUCCUCGCCUUAAGCAUCCGGGAUAAUUUGGCGGCGCCGCGACCAUUUAUUAAUUUACACGUACCACUCUUUACAAUCGAUGUUGGUGGUAUAAGUAAGUUACAAUAUUUCUGAAAUAUUUUCAAUAUGCUUAGUUUGCACUCAAUUCUUCCUUGCAGAAAUAAGCACUGCCUAAUCUUGGGAUUGCCAAUAAAUUAGAUAUAUAGAAUUUUUUUAAAUCAAGCAUUUGUAAAUGAAUGAAGUGUGUUGGAUUCCAAAAAGGGAUUGUAUUCCAUUAAAAUGUUCUCUUUUUGUUUUAAAUCGACUCGGUUCGUCGCCCAGAUCAAGUAUUUAUGGUGUUUACCAAAUCCAGUAUACGCUGAAUUUUUAAUGGGCUUUUUUUAAUUAAUGAUCCUUAACAGGGUCCAUGACAUCGUUUAUCAGUCGAUAAUGAAUACUUAUUGCUAUUUAACUGAAGUCGAGGGGAACACUGAAUGACGAAACAACUUAAAUAGCUAUUUUCACACAUUUAUAAUGCAAUUUAAGCAUGAGAAUAGUUUAUAAAAUUAGACAAUUUCACAACGUAUUCAAGUAUAUCGCUUCGCUGCAUAAGAAACAGUCUUUCAAGCGAUUUGAAACUGACACAAUUUCAGCUCUCAACAAAUAUUGAAAAUGAUAUUCUUCAAGUUGGAACCUUAUUUUCUUGUAUUCCUCGUUGUAUGCAAUGUUGAUGUAUUGGUGAAGAAUCAACGCCUUUUAGAUGUAAACGUAGAUAUCGCAACAAUCAACAAUGGUGGCGUGCACAUAGGCUAAGUUUGAAAUUGUAAAUAAAUUAUAUGCUUGCCGAUUGUAUAAAAUGAAGAUUCUACGUGGGCUAAGGCUAAGCUUGAGAUUGUAAUUAAAUUUGAUGCACGGAAUUAUAUAAAACCAA
rnacentral:sRNA from 1 species